GACGAACGCUGGCGGCGUGCUUAACACAUGCAAGUCGAACGGAAAGGCCCUGCUUUUGUGGGGUGCUCGAGUGGCGAACGGGUGAGUAACACGUGAGUAACCUGCCCUUGACUUUGGGAUAACUUCAGGAAACUGGGGCUAAUACCGGAUAGGAGCUCCUGCUGCAUGGUGGGGGUUGGAAAGUGUCGGCGGUUGGGGAUGGACUCGCGGCUUAUCACCUUGUUGGUGGGGUAGUGGCUUACCAAGGCUUUGACGGGUAGCCGGCCUGGGAGUGUGACCGGCCACAUUGGCACUCGGAUGCCGCCCAGGCUCCUUCGGGGAGCAGGGGCGGGGAAUAUUGCACAAUGGGCGGAAGCCUGAUGCAGCAACGCCGCGUGCGGGAGGACGGCCUUCGGGUUGUAAACCGCUUUCGCCUGUGACGAAGCGUGAGUGACGGUAAUAGGUAAAGAAGCACCGGCUAACUACGU
rnacentral:rRNA from 1 species